AGGAUAUUAGUUAUAAAUUAAUAACAUAAGAUUUGCAAUCUUAAAGUGAGAGCCUCUCAUAUCUUA
rnacentral:tRNA from 1 species